rnacentral:misc_RNA from 1 species
AACGCACAUUGCGCCCCUUGGUAUUCCGAGGGGCAUGCCUGUUCGAGCGUCAUUACAACCCUCAAGCAUUGCUUGGUAUUGGGCUCCGCUGCUUAUCCAGCGGGCCUUAAAAUCAGUGGCGGUGCCCGUCGGGCCCUGAGCGUAGUAUAAACAUCCUCGCUAUAGGGACCCGGUGGACGCUAGCCAGCAACCCCCAUUUUCUAAGUUUGACCUCGGAUCAGGUAGGGAUACCCGCUGAACUUAA